rnacentral:rRNA from 1 species
UACGUAGGUGGCAAGCGUUGUCCGGAUUUACUGGGCGUAAAGGGCGUGCAGGCGGCUUGUUAAGUGCAGGGUGAAAGCUCCCGGCUCAACUGGGAGAGGUUCUUGCAUACUGGCGAGCUCGAGGGAGGCAGAGGAAAGUGGAAUUCCCGGUGUAGUGGUGAUAUGCGUAGAUAUCGGGAGGAACACCUGUGGCGAAGGCGGCUUUCUGGGCCUUACCUGACGCUGAGACGCGAAAGCGUGGGGAGCGAACCGG